rnacentral:rRNA from 1 species
GACGUAGGGCGCGAGCGUUGUCCGGAUUUAUUGGGCGUAAAGAGCUCGUAGGCGGCUUGUCGCGUCAACUGUGAAAACCCGUGGCUCAACCAUGUGGUCUGCAGUCGAUACGGGCAGGCUAGAAUUCGGUAGGGGAGACUGGAAUUCCUGGUGUAGCGGUGAAAUGCGCAGAUAUCUGGAGGAGCACCGGUGGCGAAGGCGGCAUCCUGGACCGGUAUUGACGCUGAGGAGCGAAAGCCAGGGGAGCAAACGGG